rnacentral:rRNA from 1 species
AUUGAACGCUGGCGGAAUGCUUUACACAUGCAAGUCGAACGAUGAACCUUAGCUUGCUAGGGGGGAUUAGUGGCGAACGGGUGAGUAAUAUAUCGGAACGUACCUUGUAAUGGGGGAUAACUAGUCGAAAGAUUAGCUAAUACCGCAUACGCCCUGAGGGGGGAAAGUAGGGGGAUCUUCGGACCUUACGUUAUAAGAGCGGCCGAUAUCUGAUUAGGGUAGUUGGUGAGGUAAAGGCUCACCAAGCCAACGAUCUGUAGCUGGUCUGAGAGGACGACCAGCCACACUGGAACUGAGACACGGUCCAGACUCCUACGGGAGGCAGCAGUGGGGAAUUUUGGACAAUGGACGCAAGUCUGAUCCAGCCAUUCCGCGUGCAGGAUGAAGGCCCUCGGGUUGUAAACUGCUUUUGUACGGUAACGAAAGGUUUACUAUUAAUACUAGGAGCGUCAUGACGGUACCGUAAGAAUAAG